rnacentral:rRNA from 1 species
UACGAAGGGGGCUAGCGUUGCUCGGAAUCACUGGGCGUAAAGGGUGCGUAGGCGGGUCUUUUAAGUCAGGGGUGAAAUCCUGGAGCUCAACUCCAGAACUGCCUUUGAUACUGAGGAUCUUGAGUUCGGGAGAGGUGAGUGGAACUGCGAGUGUAGAGGUGAAAUUCGUAGAUAUUCGCAAGAACACCAGUGGCGAAGGCGGCUCACUGGCCCGAUACUGACGCUGAGGCACGGAAAAGCGUGGGGAGCAAAC